CCUAGACAAGGCUUGCACCUCUAUGUUGGUGUCUAGGACUAGUAGCCAUAUGGUGAAGCCAAGCAAGU
rnacentral:ribozyme from 1 species